GCGGGCGUAGCUCAGGGGUAGAGCGCAACCUUGCCAAGGUUGAAGUCGGGCGUUCGAAUCGCCUCGCCCGCUCCA
rnacentral:tRNA from 1 species